GAGGGAACAUAAUGAGGGUACCUCGCUAGAAAGCACCUGCUAACUACGUGCCAGAAGCCUCGGUAAUACGUAGGGUGCAAGCGUUAUCCGGAUUUAUUGGGCGUAAAGCGUCUGUAGGUGGAUAUGUAGGUGGCUCGUUAAAGCCCACGGCUCAACUGUGGAAAAGCGAGUCAAACCGUAUAUCUAGAGUAUGUUAGGGGAGGUUGGAAUUCUCGGUGGAGGGGUGAAAUCCAUUGAUAUCGAGAGGAACGUCAAGGGCGAAGGCAAACCUCUGGGGCAUUACUGACACUAAGAGACGAAAGCUAGGGUAGCAAAAGGGAUUAGAGACCCCUGUAGUCCUAGCCGUAAACGAUGAAUACUAGCUGGGCGACUUUUGUUGUCUGGCGCAAGCUAACGCGUUAAGUAUUCCGCCUGGGUAGUACGGCCGCAAGGCUAAAACUCAAAGGAAUUGACGGGGAUCUGCACAACCGGUGGAGCAUGUGGUUUAAUUCGAUACAAAGCGAAGAAUCUUACCUGGGCUUGACAUGUACCUGCACGGCAUUGGAAACUUUGCCUUCUUCGAGAGUGGUACACAGGUGCUGCAUGGCUGUCGUCAGCUCGUGUCGUGAGAUGUCGGCUUAAGUGCCGUAACGAGCGCAACCCCUGCCGUAUGUUAAAUAUUCAUGCGGGACUGCCUUACAACAAGUAGGGAGGAAGGAGGGGAUGACGUCAAGUCAGCAUGGCCCUUACGUCCAGGGCUACACACAUCCUACAAUGGCGAGUACAACGGGUUGCGACCUAGUAAUAGUGAGCUAAUCCUCCAAAACUCGUCUCAGUUCGAAUUGAGGGCUGAAAUUCGCCCUCAUGAAGUCGGAAUCGGUAGUAAUCGUGGGUCAACAGACCGCGGUGAAUACGUUCUCAGAUCUUGUACACACUGCCCGUCAAGUCAGCAAAGUUGGCAGCGCCCGAAGCGCUACGCUCAGCGUAGUUCUAAGGCGAGGUUAGCGAUGAAGACUAAGUCGUAACAAGGUAUCCCUACUGGAAGGUGGGGAUG
rnacentral:rRNA from 1 species